rnacentral:rRNA from 1 species
AGUGAACGCUGGCGGUAGGCCUAACACAUGCAAGUCGAACGGCAGCACAGUAAGAGCUUGCUCUUACGGGUGGCGAGUGGCGGACGGGUGAGGAAUGCAUCGGAAUCUACUUUUUCGUGGGGGAUAACGUAGGGAAACUUACGCUAAUACCGCAUACGACCUACGGGUGAAAGCAGGGGAUCUUCGGACCUUGCGCGAUUGAAUGAGCCGAUGUCGGAUUAGCUAGUUGGCGGGGUAAAGGCCCACCAAGGCGACGAUCCGUAGCUGGUCUGAGAGGAUGAUCAGCCACGCUGGAACUGAGACACGGUCCCGACUCCUACGGGAGGCAGCGGUGGGGUAUAUUGGACAAUGGGCGCAAGCCUAAUCCAGCCAUACCGCGUGGGUGAAGAAGGCCUUCGGGUUGUAAAGCCCUUUUGUUGGGAAAGAAAAGCAGCAGGUUAAUACCCCGCUGUUCUGACGGUACCCAAAGAGUAAGCACCGGCUAACUUCGUG